rnacentral:lncRNA from 1 species
CCAUUUAAAGGGGAGGUCGUUCUGGUUUUUGUCAUAGUGUUCGGUGCCAGCACAGAUUGGCUUCAAAUGAAGAUAGAUACUGGAUUGGGGAGCUGAGAACUAUGGCUUGAAAAUCCAUCAGCUUUAGGGCAAAUAAUCAAUGAGCAGGGGCAUGUUUACCAAAGAUAAUCGGCUUACACUGCCGAUUUGAUGCAAGGUGCAGGUUGAUUUUGGAAAACUUCAAUGCAAAUCGACUUGUUUUGAAUGUCUUGCACUCACAUGUAUAUUUCCAUUUGCAUAUGAGAACGAGCUAUUUGAUUAUUUGGGUGUUCUGUUAUAUUUGACUUUAUAUUUAUUAGGAUUUCUUUUUUCUGAUGCCCUCUACCUGGGGUUCCUGGAAUUUCAGUCUCGUGUCAUUCCACAGCUCAUUUAUUUAUUCCAAAGUCUUUUUUGUACAGAAUGUUAAAAUUGCCCUUUUCAAGUUUAAAUGCAAUUUGGAGUUGGGAGAGAGAGUUUUGUUAUUAUUUUAGCAUAAACUUGCUGUGGAAAUAAAAGAUGGGCUGUGGCAUUGUCAUUUGCCAUUAACAUGUGGCACUUGACAUAUAAGGAAAUACCUAUAUAAAAAUCUUACAUGCUCCUUGUUUGGAUUGCGAUUUUCCGUCAAAAAAUUACGUCGUUUUUCGUGAUCACAUUUUCUUAUUACUUUUUUUUCUCACAUACAUCAAAUCACUACAGUAAUUUUUUUAUGAAAAAUGACGGAAAAUGCAAUCCAAACAGGUUUGUCAGGACUUGGAUGCUCCGGGAGUUCAAUAUUUUGCCAAGUUGCAGCACUGUUAACCAUGUGAAAUAAUAGCCAAGACAACAGCUUCUAUGAAUUUUUUUUUAUUCUGUAUUUGUUUGAUUUAUGUAUUUUUUGAAAUCGACCUAAGAAAUGGAGCAAUCAAUCUAAAGAAUCUUAAAGGAGGAUGGGGAGAAGCAAGUGCUAUUUUCUUUGAUCUUUUUUCAAUUUCUUUCUCUUUUCCUCAUUUCUAAUCCCUAAUUAAGACCUCUGUUAUAAUUUGUUGAAAGCUUAAGCAAUAGAUCAGGUAAUUCCAUGAGAGAAUGGUAUUUUAUUUAACUAUUUAUAAAGCACAAGCUAGUUUACCGUGUGUCGUCUGAAAAUGCAUUCAUGGGAUAUUUGUCUCCUCUUCUCCCACCCCUUAAACUCCCAAACUAGCUGGAAGGAUCUCAUGUAACAUGUAGAAAAUCGAAAUGCUUCCUUUUUUUACGAAUUAAAAAAAAAAAAUUACCAUAAUGUAUCGCAUGUCGUUACAAUUUGCUGUCAACAGAAGACAGCAUCGUAUUUGAUUACCAUGCUUCAAAUGCCGCAAAAGCAUCAAGAAAGAAAGAUGUUCAUUUGACAUCUUUGGAUAAAAGAUUAACUUUGCUGACCGGUCGAGCAUUGCAAAGAUCAUCUGUUGAAUCACCUCUCUCAAAUACACCUGCAGCCCCCAUUCCAGAACCUAGAUAUGCAAAGCAGAGAAAAGAUUGGUAAAGAUUGUCUACCAGAAGACUAUCUGUUGACUACAUGAUCGAUCCUCUCUAAUAACAAUGAAGUAGAAGAAGGUAUAUAACACAGUAAUGGAGAGAAUGUAGGGAGGGACCUAUGCACAUGGAAAUCACACCAAAACGGCAGUCCCUGCCCCUUCGCUUCAUCUCAUGUAAUAAAGUUGCAACACAACGAGCACCUAACAAAAUUUGCAAUCUGUUAUUAUGAUUUUGGCAAUUGUGCAGAUUGGUGCGUUUCACAGAUCAGGAUACCAGAAAUUCAGGGAGACAUGCACAAGGGUCAGAACUGAUCCAAUUAGAGAUGCAGACUUUACCUGUAGCCCCCAAAGGAUGUCCAAGAGCCAUUGCUCCUCCAUUCACAUUAACUUUUUCCAUGUCAAGCUCCAGUUUCUUGCAGCAAUAUACGUAUUGCGAUGCAAAUGCCUGUGGAGUUCAAUGAUUCUAAUUUAAGGUGAAAAUUUCCAUUAACAAAGCAGAGUUAAAAUGCCUGUAAACAAAUCAAGUACCUCAUUUAUUUCAAACAGAUCAAUGUCAUCAACUCCAAGACCAGCAGACUUUGCCGCAGCUGGAAUUGCAACUGCUGGACCUAUUCCCAUCACUGCAGGGUCCACUCCAGCAACGGAGAAGCUCCUGCAUGAGAAGCAGCAGCAAGUUGAUGUCAACUCUUGAGAGCAAUUCAGGCAUGCUCAACAUUCCUAACUCUUGAUUAGAAUAAUGCAUUAUGCCAAGCAUUUUAUUCUCAUUUCAGAAAACAUCAUUCUUUCGUUUUCAUUUUCUUCUCCGAUACUAUUCAACAUUCAGAAAUGACUGCAGCUGCUUCCGCAGAGAGAAGGAAUUGACCUGUCUCAGGAAUCACCAAAUGCUAAUUUAAUGUGCUUUUGUGUAUAGAAAAAUAUUUAAUCUAGCUUAAUCAUACUAAAUAUACAUUGUUAUGGUAGCCAAGUGCCUCCAAUUCUUUUAUGACUCUUAAAUCAGUCUCUCUGCUUGUUAUGGAAUUUCAUGAGUAAAUUAACUUGUCAGUAAGUUUCAAUUGAACAUAGCAUGGCCUAUUGCAAUAACGAUUAGUUCCAGGAGAAACGACAAACCUUCAGUCCAGACUAAUUCCUUUGGAAAAUAAGAACAUCAGAUAAACAUGAUAACUUUAGUGGGUGAAGAUCAUAGAUUUAGCAUAAGCAGCCUCAGGUAAGUAAUUGAUAAAAUCACAAGAGUUACAGGAUUUGUUAGCCAAGCUAAAUACAUAUCUUCAAAAGGACUUCAAAAUAAUGGGCAUAUAAGGUGGGCAAGCUACAUUAAGCAUUCAAAAGAUUGGCCAGAUAUAAUAAAAAUUAAACAAUGUAUUUAUGAGUUUGGCACCUUUUUUUUCAAAGUUUCAACCUUUUUGUAUCCAAUGAGACAUUUGAAAGGACCUUUGUGCUUUUAAUUGAAACAGAAAUCUGGUAAAAGUUUCUUAUCAGUUGGUAAUGAGUGGAUUCUUUGUACCAGAAAACAACCCAAUACAUCCAAACAAGGUGUACAGGGAAGUUUCUAAAUACAAUGCGGUUGAUAUACAUCUAGUACUACAAAUAAGGCCCAUGACAUCCUCUCACUCUUUAUAGAUCAAGAGUCAAAAAUGUCAUCAGAUUAAGGAUAUGUCAAGGAGUAUAAAGCGGUUAACAAAAAUUGAGAACUAAGAAAGGAUUAUCAUUAAAGCUAUACCAGCUUACAAAAAAUAGUAGCUCGACAAAAUUAACUGCCGAGGUACAUGCCAGUUCUCUAUAAAAAGUUGAAAAAACAUCUAUAAGAAGGUAUACCAACUUGCCACAACAUGCAUACCUGAAUAUUCCAAGAAUUGGAAGCCCCUUUUCCAUUGCUAGACUCCUUUUCAUCAGAAGAACUGCACCUGCUCCAUCACUUAUCUGACUAGCAUUCCCUACAAAUGGUAUACUUGUUCAAACAGACUUCAAUAAAAGAUGAAGAUAUGAAGGCACUUGGCAGUGUCUAAUGUCCACUAGAGCUAAACAGUACUUGAGUACCAGCAGUUGUAGUUCCAUCUUUCUUGAACGCAGGUUUCAACUUUGCCAGAUCUGUCAAGUUUGUGCUUGGCCGAAUGCCAUCAUCCACUGAAACUGUAACUGGCUUCUCCUCUCCAUUUUUAGGGUCCUUGAUCUUUCAUGGUAAUCUCAGUUAGAAAGCAUUCGAAACGGAGGACUUACAUUUGGGCUUCAUAUUCUUUUCUAUGUGGGCUAUAUAAACAACAAUAAAAAGAUAGGCUUCACUUUCAAAGAUGAGUCUACUACCUUGGUGAAAACUGGGAUGAUUUCGUCUUUAUAUUUACCAGAUGCAGUUGCUGCAGCAGCACGCUUGUGAGACAUAACCUAUUGUUGCAAUAUUACGAGUUCAAAAAUUUUUCUCCCACCAAAUCAUGCAUCAGAAGAAAUAAAUAGAAAGGUCCAUGACUUACAGCAGCCUGGUCUUGUUCUUGCCGUGUUACCCCAUACCGCUCUGCAACAUUUUCAGAAGUAAUGCCCAUAGGGAGAAGACAGUCCCGGGCUUGUGGAAAGAGUCGACCUGUCAUACAAAUAUCUCCAGUUGAGGAUGCUACUUCACAAAUCAGAAGAUCUGUUCCAAAAGGUAAAGAGUAAGUAGAGCUGAGCUUACUCGUGGAUUAGCUUGUUGGAUGCUAACAUUGGAAUUAGUGGUCAUUGACUCUAACCCAGCCCCAAUCCCUGCAUGGGAAAGAAUUAAACAAGAAAUUUGAAUAAAACUAUCACCAGUUAUUAUUUCGAAAGGUAAUUUUUUUUUACCUAUGUCGUAGAAACCAGCUUUAAUGCAUGCAGCAACAUCAGCAACUGCCUGGAGGCCAGAAGAGCAUUGUCUAUUGACAGUUCUGAUGGGCACAGUUUCUGCAAAAAGGUACAAAAUUAUACAAGAGACAACCACAACUUGCAAGUAAAGGACAUUGAAGAUAAAUGCAGACAAUAACCAGCAAAAGGAAUUAUUUCCCGUAUCUGUUAGAAAGGACUUAUAACAGAAAUAGAAUGUCCAUUUCAUUUAGUUUAUCCUCUUAAACCAAUCAUAAAAUGAUUCCAAUUUAGAAGGCUGCUACUAUAAAUAUUCGUACAAUUUAUAUUCUGCAAUAUUUUUCUCUUCCUGGUUGCCAACUAAAACAAAGCAUCACAUGUCCACUCAUCCAGACAACAAAUUAAACACAAAAGAAAAAAGAAUGAACUAUUUACCAGGAAAACCAGCAUAGAAUGGCCAUCCUGCAUUCAGUUGCUCUUUGUGAACCUGGAGCUACAACAGUGCCCACAACUAUAUCCCCCACCACUCGCUUGUUAAUAUUUGUCUUGUCGAUCAAGGCCUACAAUGAAUGAUAAAUGUAGGAUGAUACACUAUAAUUGUUGAAUGAGAAGUUCCAAUUAUAGAAGUGGAUAACAAAUGCUAUAAUAAUAGAAGAUAGAACAAGAAUGGGCAGCUGACUUAAGAAGCAAAGACAAAGAAAUCUAAGCAUGAGACGUUCCAAAUAAGACACUUAUUUAUUGUUAAUCUAAAUUAUUAUUCAGAAAAUCCAUUUCUGUUUUAAAAACUUAAAACGUAUUUGGCUGCUACAAUAUUCUAACCAAAAUCACUUAGAGCUGUGACCUUGAACAACAUGAAAAUCUGUUCUGCAACUGACCUUCAGAACUGGAGCGAGUAAAUCAUCCGCAAGGGUAUCUUUGAAGCCACCACGUUUUGAUUUGCAUAUCGCAGUCCGAUAUGCCCUGUAGAACAUGACUUGUCGUUAUCAAACUGACGGUAGAAGAGCCAUUUGGCACAAACUAGGACAAAACAAUCUUGACUGCAAGUAACUUACGCUACAAUGACUACAUCAUCUCCAAAAGCAGCUGUCCUCUGGUAAGCAGCACUAUCCCCCGCCAGACAAAUUGACGGCUAGUCGAGUAUCCCAAAAUAAAUUAUACAAAAAAAAGGGUAUGAGAAUCGAAAAGUACAAUAUUGUGUCAUGACUGCAAGUUCUGGGUAAUAGACAAAUGAUGAUCAUAGCAAAGUCUUUGAUACAGUUUAGUUCCCCCAAACGAAAACUUGUCCUAUCUUGAUCUAAAACAAAGUCUUGAGCACAGAUUUAAGAGAUGUUCUUUAGCUUGAAAGCCACGGAUUGAUUAUCAUAUUAUGAAGUUGGAUCACAUCAAAAGUUAUGCUACCAAUUCUAAUUGCAAUCUUGCGUAAAAUAAGCAAAAACUUAUGAUUCGCGCACUAGCUUAGAAGUGAUUGCUUUGGCAGAAUAGCAUGAAGCAAUCCAUAUUCUUUAAAUAAGAAAGUUCUUUACUUGUUUCAACUGCCGUUGAAAUAACACAGCAAAAUACCAUCGUCCCAACAUCCAACUAUAUAACAGGGUAAUGCUAGCUAGUAACCUAACACAGUAGACAUCAAUUAACUUCUAAACUUAGUUCCAGCAUUCCAUCAAGCAAACUGUUGACAGUCAUUAUUCUCAAAAAAAAAAAAAAAAAAAAAAUCUUCUCUUUGGGUAAUGAAAUUAUUGCAAUCACCCUCCAUUUGACGUAAAUUCUAGCCCCCGCCGGGCCACAACCAUCCAUUAAUAACGUGAUUGAUCUAAAAUUUUCAUUUCAGAAUAUAUUUGAGCAAUAGAAUUAUAAAUCUUACAGAAAUUGAAGAAGAUUCUUCAUGGGUCAGCUGAUGAGAAAAGCAAGAAGUGGGUUGCAGGUGUUCCAGCAAAACUUUUUGUCUGAAGAUAGCUUUCUCCAUUUCCUGGCUUCCUCCAAGUUCUCACCAACUCUUUUUUACCCUCUCUUUGUUUCUUGAUCAAUUAAUCAACGAUGUUAAAGCCCACUUUGCACUCGAAUAAGCUAAUUUGGCAAGAUACUUGUAUAUAUAGAGUGGAGGUAGCAGCCUUGAAUGCAAUAUGGCCUUCAAAUUUUAUCGCUGACCAGCAACUUUAAUGGUAAAUAAGUUUUAAAAACCGAAAUUGCUGUGGCGUUUUUGGGUCAAGUUCAACUACCGAAAGCUUGUUGGUAUUCCCUCCCUUUUUUUAUAACUGUCGUUUAAGAAAUUUGCUUCUAAGUACUUUUAUCUGUCGUUUUACUAUCCCUACGCAGCAUUUAUUAUUUUUUCACAUUUUUACCCUUUUAUCUCUCUUACUCCUAGUAAUUAUUGCUUCUCUCUGCCCUUCCAUAUUCUUUCUUCUUUUCUCACCGUAUGUUGAACCCCUUUGUUCUUCUUACUCCUAGUAUGUUGAACCAUUUAAUACAGUGAGAGAAAACAUGGGUGAAUGGAAUAAUUAAUGAGGGUAUAAAAGGAAAGUGGUAUAUAGAUUUAAGCAAUGAAAACUUUUCUUAAUUGACGUGCAAUUCUUUAAACGCCAGUUAUAAAAAAAGGGAGGGAGUAUUAGUCUUUUUCGUUUUUGGCGUUGGUCUUGGUUUUGGGUAUGCGUGUCUUCACCGAUUGCAGUAAUGCACUUGUCUGCCGGUGGGGACUUUGGCAUUAUGAAAUGCAUGAAGAACGUGGUGGGCAGGGCCGUGGGUGGAUAUCUCAAUCCGAGUUUUCCCUGAUUUUGUUGCAUUUGCUCCGAAAGUUCAAUGGGAAUCACACCGUGGAAACUAAGAAAGAAAACUCAUGGAACUUUUGACGAAGCUACACUUGAUCUUCGUGUGGAAAUUAAGAAAGACCUUAGCUUUAUUAGACUUGUUACUGUCAUUUGCACUCAGCACCCCCCGAUUAUUCUUAAACUAUUAAAUUACAGCACGAUGCAACCCUUCUUUUAUUAUUUAUUUAAACUUGUUUUAAUAGGGGAAUGAUGGAACUUUAAAAAGUGGAGAGAGGGCAGGGGAUUAAAUUUAAAAUCUCUAAUUCUUGAGAUCUCAACCUUAAUCAAAUUCGGAAAUAUAAAUAAGAAGAACUCUUUUUUUUUUUUUUAAACUACAUGAAGUACUCUUUUCACCAUAGCACCCCGACAGCGUAUACAUGCCACCAUCCACCAUAUAUAUAUAUAUAAUUUUUAACUUUUUUUUAAAUAUAAGUGAGAGGAUUUGAACCCGAAACCUUAUAGUACUUAUAUUAUCUCUUUCUCUCGAAUCACCCAACCCAUCCCAUCCCAUCCCACUUUUAUAUAUUCUUGUAUUUAAUAUAUUUCUUACUUUUUUCUAGUAAUAUAAAUAUUAACAAAAUAUAAGCAUUUAUGUGGCUACUGAAAAAAGGCCAACCUAGCGCAGUUCACUUAGGUAAGGAGCUUAUGGUCUUUUUAAUUGCAAAGGGCUAACUAGUUUCCAACGUAAUUUAGGCUAUUGAGAAAGUCUACAAUAAACUAUAAAGCGUGAGAUACUAUGUUGCUAUAACUUAUAGUUUAGGGGGCAAAGUAUUAAUCAUGAGUAGUUUAGGCGUGCAAAUUACAACUACCCCUUUUAAUUCAUCUUAAUUGAGUUAAAAUAAAUUUGUUAAGAUUUCAAAUAUUUUUUAAGCUAUUUUUAUUUGAAUUCUCUUGCCCCAUUCGUUUUAAAAAAGGAUUUCAUGGUGGUGUGUGGGACAUGAUCGUUGACUUGUAGAAAGAAAAGAAAGAAGGUCUCCAUUCCCUUGAAGUUUCGGGGAAUUAUUUAAGCUUAAGAAAUUCAUCAACAAGCCAUGAAAUUAAUAACAACCCUUUGCCGCCCUUCCAAGGCAGUCAAGCUGGUCUCACUAAGGGUUAGUACCCCCGAGGUCCAGUGUUCAAGUCUUGUCACAAAAAUGGGGAAUAGCCCAACAACUCGAAUAAGGGUUGGGGUCUGAAGUGGGGUCAGGUCCUUUUUUUAGAUUAAAAAAUAAUAAUAAUUACAACCCUUUGCCCUCAAACAUGUUUUUUUUAAGGAGCAAUUAAUUAAGUAAUUUAAGGUAGUUAAUGGGAUUAUCAAACACCUUAAAGUCCUCACAACAAGUCACUAUAGGGGGGGGGGACAAUCAGGAAGGCCUACUAAAUUAUAAUUAAUUAAAGUGAGUUGUUUCAAAUCCAGAAUAAAUGAAAUAAAAAACAGAGUGAUGGCUGUAUUUAUUUUUUUAAAAAAAGUAAUACUAUAUAAAAUCCCAUGUGUUGCAACAACAUCUCUCUUAUUUCUGCACUUACGGGGCCAAAUUGGCAUCUGAGCCUUGAUUUUGUUGCACCGUGACUUGUAAGAUGGCUAUCAAAGGUUAGGUAUGCUUGUACAAUUCAUUGCUCAGUCAACAGAAUAGAACAUGGAAGAAGAACAGCGAGAAAUCAUAGUAAUUCAAUUGUCUGAUUUCUUUCCUUCUACGUCUUCACAACUUCAUUUAAGAUUUGAUCUGCAUUCAUUCAUGAUGAAAUACCCAGUAUUCAGUUGCAGUGAGCUCUUAUCAAAUACCAGUACCAGAAAAACGAGGAACAAAAACAGAAUUGUACACUUCCAAAGUCGAAAAAACUUUCUUCAGCUUUCUUGGAAUCGAAAAACUGCUCAACUAUCAGUACCGGUUAUGGAGAGUACGACUGGGAGGUACUUGACCAGGACAUGUAAUGUGGUCAGGCAUAACUUAACUAACAUCUUGUACCUUGCCGCCUCGGUGGCUAGGCGGAAGCCGCAUAACCACACAAAUUUAAGAAGCUUUCUACAGUGAUAUUCCACACAAAUUCGAGCUUAAGCUUAUUUUACUUUAAUCAAACUCGAUCAAAUCGAAGUCAAACGAGUUUUUAAGCUCAAAUUUUUUUUAGUGAAUUUCAUAAUUUUAUAAUAAAGGAUAAAAUACACAAAACUCCCUUGUGGUUUGACUAAUUGACACGCUACCUCCUCAUUAUUUAAAAACACUCACACUACCCCCUCGUACUUUAGACUAAAGUGAAAUUUAACCGGUAACCUGUAUGCUACCUGCAAGUGAUGUAUUAUUAUUAUUAUUAUUUUUUAUUUUAUUGUCAUUUUUUCUUUCAAUUUUGGUGCUUUGACUUAACUAUCAUUUGUAUUUUUACAAAUUGUAUAAUUAGUUAUGCACUUUUAAAAUUUUCUAAAAAUUAUUCAUACCCUCUCACUAUUUUGCUCUGCCAUCUCUCUCUACUGACGCCAGUCGCCACCACCACUCGCUGCUUUGUCUCCAAAGAUUUUUUCAAAACAAUGACCCCAAAAUCCUCCCUCAAUUUAUGCAACACAGGGUCCUCGUUAGAUGCUGAAUCAGGAAAUUCUUGUGGGUUCGCUCCGGCCCAAUCACCCGAAUUACGCAGAUUAAGAUCGUAGUACAUACUCUCAGAAGUCGGGUCAGACGGGAACUUCAAAUUGGAGCAUCGGUUGCUCUUGAGCAUUAGAUUGGAGUUGGAGCUUGAGGUUCUUCAUCUUCUUAGUCGGCCUCCAUUCGUUGGGCUUAGGAGGAAUUAUCCGAUUAUCCGGAUUUUUUGCGAUUGGGGCUUUGGAGAAGUCGAAUUCGAUAAUGAAUUCUUUUGACUCUUCGGUGUCGGUGGCAGCGUCAGAGGGUUUCUUGAGGGUCGAAUUUUAGGGCUUUGAGGAGAGGGGGAAAGAAAGCUUCAUCUUAGCAAAGAAUUGAAAGAAGAUUCUAAACUAAAAUCUCCGAUCCCCCAAAAACCUACAAAUAAAGGCGAGGACUACUUGCCAUUACCAAUGACUCUCCAAUGCAAUUGAUGCAGUAAUUUUGCCUGCAAUUAUAUAGGGUUUAAACAAUUUAGGUAUUUUCUUGGCUAAUCCAGAGUGAGAGGAGAGAAUAAAAGACAGAAUUGGAGCAGUAAUUUUGGAUGUGUGCUUUCUUCCUAUGCUAAUUGUUAUGCCUCACGCCAAGGCGUAAGGGUGCCAAAGAGGGAGAGUAUGAAGUGGUGGAAGGGAUGGUGUAGAGUUUGGGUGGCGAGGGGGAUGGUGGUAUGAAAUGGUGGUGCAAAGUUCUGGUGGGAAGGGAUGGUGGUGUGAAGUGGUGGAGGGGAAGGGGAGCAGGAGAGAGGAGAAAAAAGAAAGAAUAAAAAAAUUAGCAGAUGCCAAGACCUUUGCUUCGAUAUUGUGAGUUGUGGAGAAUGUGAAAUGGAGGAAGAAGAAGAGGAAGAAUAGAAAAGAAAAGAAUAAAAAAGGAAAGGAAAGGAAAAUAAAAUAAAAAAGAAAAAAAAUUAGUAAUAGACAGACUACCGGUUCAUAGCAGGUAAAAAAGCGUAAUUCUACUCUAAUCCAAAGCACGAGGGGGGUAGUGUGGGUGUUUUUAAAUAAUGAGGAGAUAGCGUGUUAAUUAGUCAAAUCACAAGAAGGUUUUCUGUAUUUUAAACAAUCAAGUACUUGAAUUUUAAUUUUUUUUCUACUCAAAUUUAACUCGUUUACCUUAUUUAUAAAUAGUUUGAACUCAAUUCGAACGCGAUCAAUAUUGAAUUUGAGUCGAGUCUUUAAUUGAACUAUUGACGAGUCAAAAUCAAGUAGCUAGUAUCAAAUACUUCGAACUCCACUCAAACUCGGUCCUUUUUUUUUUUUUUUUGUCUCCUUUGUAGAUGACUAAUCGAACUUCCAGUUCUAAAUUUUCUUAGACAAGGCAAACAACCGUCGGGCCGGACGAUUGGAUUCAAAACCCAGCUUCUCUUGGGUAAAGUGAAUUAGUUCUUGACCGGAGCAAACUCUGCGUUGGCUAUUAGAUUACAGACUGAGUGGUUGAAGGAUCGCAACCGUCAGAAUCAUCCUUUAGUGGAUGAGGGGACCUGGACCGUUCUCGUUUGUCCCCCGCUAGCUUGCAAGGAAGGAGUCCGUUCAAGGAAAGUGCAUCCGUGACCCCAGGUGUAAUCAGUAAUCACCCGACCUUUUACUGUCUCGUCUCUCGCAUUCGUGCUAAAUAUGUUUGCGCGAUUGCCUUUGAUACAAGGCUAUGGCAAUUCGCACCCAGUCGCACCGACCCGAUCGUGGGGUAUUAUUCACUUGGAAAAAGUGUUUUGAUAGUUCCAUUGCAGAUCAGCAAAACCAUAUGCUGCAUACUCUAAUUUCUCUUGCGAUCAAAAGGUGAGCAUAUUAGCGAAACUUGCCAUUGAAGAUGUAAAAGUGGUUUAGCUCUUGUGUUACAAAACUUGUCUUUUAAUUCUUCUAUCUUCAAAUUGCUUUUUGUUUCUUUUUUUUUUUUUUAUCAAAAUGGGUUGUGAGAAUAUUUCUCAUUGAUAGCUUAUUAUUUCACUUAUUAUGUCCAGAUAAAAAACCAAAGAAAUUUUAUGUGUAGUUUGUUUUGUCAGUAUAUGAAUUAUAAAGCAUAGUUAUACAUCAAGUAAAUGCAUCUACAGACUGAAAUUUUGCAAUUAUUAACAUAAUUCUAAUGUAGCAAUAUACUACUCAAAAAUUUUGAGGUAAGUACGAAUAAUUUAUCUUUUUUUUAACAUGGUAAAAAUAAUUGAAAUGUGAGAUACCAUACAAAGCAUUAGUUGUGGUCAUAUUGAUGCACAACUCUCUAAUCAGCUUUAGGCUUAGUUUGGGAGUUUAGGAUAGAAAAGAAACUAAGGAAAAACUUAAAUUAUGAGAGAAGAGAAAGAGAACAAUGUUAUGUUGUUUGAGAGUUUUAAAAAUUAGUGGAAUAAUUUUGGAUACGGAAGUCAUUAAAUAUUUAUUCAAUAACUUUUUAAGGACAAAAUGGGCAUUUUGAAAAUAUUUGACAAGCUUCCUCAAAGUUUCCUUUCAUUUCCGUCCAAUUUGAGAGAAAAAGUUUUGACUGCUGUGACGCUUGAAUCCUCCCAUUUCUUUCAUUUUUUGUUCUUACUAAAAAGUAAAAACUAACAAACAAAGAAAAGUUUGUUUGGACAAGAAUGAUUUGAAAAAUAAUAAUUUACUUGCAUCAUUCCAACAUACCUUUUUAUCUUUUCAAUCAUUUUUUUAUCUCACAUACAUCAUAUUGCAUAUAUUGAUUCAGUAAUUAUUUUAAAUAAAUAUCUCAAAUAAUCGCGCAUCCAAACAUAUUCAGACUUCUUUCCCUUUUUUCUGUCUAAAUUCUCAACUCCAAAACAAAGCCUUAAAGUUGUUUUUUUGUUCGCAUCGCGCAAUAUCCUUUUCUUUUUUUUUUCUCUUCUUAUAUCACACUUCCACGAUGAUACUUUAGAAGCCGCGGGAGGAGGAGGAGUUGUCUAUGAAAUUGUGAGCUUGAGAGGAAGCCUCAACGGUGGUCAACAUUCAAGAUAUUUUUUUUAGUCAAAAUGUCACUUCAAUUUAUAUUGAUAUAAUUAGUGCCUUUACAAGCAUUUACUAUAAUUUCGGGCAACUGCCAUACGAGAUGACUACUUCUCAUUCAAGAAUUCGGACGGUUAAAAGUUUCCUCUGGUCUAGACCGUACAGCAGCCCAAUGAUAAGAUUUAUUAAAGUUUAAGAGGACGAUGCUCUGACUCAAUUGCGCUCGUAGACUCGCGUGCAUGUGACAUCUGAAUUCCAAAAUCAUUUGUACCGACCUUUUAUUACAGCCAUGCGUUGAGUUAUUUUGUGUGGAUAUUGCAUUUUUUAUUCAAAAUAAAAAAUGGUGUUUUUUAAGGGAUAAUUUCAUAUACCCCGUCGAGGUUUCUCGUAAUAUCACUCAACUCUUCUGAAGUUUUAAAAAUUUCGUUUACUUUUCUUAAAUUGACAUUUCUUGUAACAUUUUAAUCCUUUUAGAAGAAAUACAAUAAAGAUACAACUUUUGUUUCAAUACUACCUUUAUAUUGUCCUCUUAUGAAAUUAUAACAAUAAUAAAAAAUAAGGUUAAAUUUUUAUAAGGUGUAAAUUUUUUGACGAAACUAUUAUUUUAGUCGUGUUAGAACAAAAAUAAAAUUUACACCUUGAAAAAUUCACGCAUGUGAAGAAGAGAUUAUUUAGUUUUCAAUACAAUUUAAACUACACCAUGAAUUAAAACAUAAUUCCUCAAAAUAUAUCUAGAUUUUCUUAAUUGUAACUUAACUAUGCACGAAAAUUUUCAAGAGAUUAAUUACUUACCAAAAUCCUCCUAAGUUGUUGACCUUGAUUAAAUUUAAUUUAUCUACGUCAUUUGCUAUUCCACCAUGAUCCUAAUAUAAAGAAAUGUGAACCGUUAUUAGCUAGCAAUUUAUUUUUUAAUUUUAAUUUUUGGUUUUAAAAUUUUAUUUUAUUUUGGCUUUGUGCUUAAAUAGUUAUUAAGAACAAGAGGCAGUGUUGUCAAAUUGUGACCUUUGAUAUGAAUAUUUAGUCUUAUCAAGUUGAUAGUAGAAGUAAGUGAAAUUUUAAAAAUUUUAAGAGAGUUGAGUGAUAUUAUGACAAACCUCAUAGGAGGUUUCUAAAAUUAUCCCUUGUUUUAAUUUUUUCUCAAAACUAGCAAUCAAAAAUACAAGUUUUUUUUAGUGAAUGGGGGUACAUCUACAAAUUAGCAGGAUAUAUUCAAAUUUUUUUCAAAAGGCUGCCCAAUAUUCAAAUUUUUAUUUUGUUUCAGUAGAGGUGAAUUGAACAAUGAGUAACUUUGACCAAGAUUUCAACAACAAAUUUUCUUCUCCUCCGUACUUCUUUCAUAGUAGACUUAGCAAUCUUUUUUUUUUCUGAAUAAAAAUCUAUGUUUUAAUUGUAUCUUAUCAAUUUGAGAUUUACAAUCAUAUGGAGUUUAAGUAAAAAAGAAUAACAGGGAAAUGGGAUACUAAGAAUAGUAGGAUCGAAAGUGAAAAAAAAAUGACAGAUAAAUUGAAAUAAGAUAGAUUUGAGUAUGACUAGAUGUAUAGUUUAAGAAGAAUAGUGAAAGAAAGGUGUUUGUUACUCCUUUUUGUUUUUGUUUUUCUACCGUCUACACAAUGAAAAGUGAAGAAAUAGAUGACUAUUAUUUCUUCUCAAAAAUUUAAUGUCAAUGCUUACAAAUUCUCAUUAAAAGUGGUGAUAAUUUUUAAAAUUUAAAUAUGAAACAAAUAUUAAUGUACAUCAUUUUCAAACCAAAUGUCUAUUAGUUGUAAAGGACUACUCUUUAUGAGUUUGAUAUUUAUUAUUGACUCCCAACAUUUGAAUAUUGAGCUUAUUUUGAUAAUUGUUCAAGCUGUAGCAUGAACAAAUAUUUAUACAAUCAAAAAAAAUUAAAUUCAAGAAAAUUGAUAAAUUGUGAAGGUAGUUAAAAAAUAUGAUAUUGAGCCAGACUGUAACCUUUUUUUUUUUUUUUUCUUUUUUGAAAGCCGGUUGUAGCAUUCAAAUGGUAGACGGGUCAAUUGUAAUUUUGAAACGACCCGCAAUUGUGUCCAACUGGAGUCAGUUGCGAGUGGCAAUGACGAGCAUUUUGGCGUCAGCAUACGUAAUUAUAAAAUGAAAAUCACAAAAAAAAGCUCUCUGGUCUGAAUCUGAUGAUUAGACAGAAUCGUUGCUGUAGGCUAGUUGCGGUUAUUUCUUGUCCUCCGCUCGAUUCCAGCAUAAUCUCAGACCCUUCACCCACUCCCUCUAACGUGCCUUUUUUUCGGAGGGGGGAAAAAAAAAUUCUUUUUUCUUUUCCUCUGUCCUUACUGUUACUUCCUCAACUCUUUGCUUCACCAACACUCGUAUCCAUAGCUACCUUACCGAUAUAUAUUUCUGGAGUUCUGGAAAGCUCUUCAGAUCUGGAUCGAAAGGAGCAGGAACGGCGAAGUUCGCCGGAAACGGUGAUGGCGGAGUCGUUGGAGAAAGUUGACCAGGCUAGAACUUCUUCGACUUCCAGCGAAGUUUCCGUGGAAUUAGAGAAGGAAGCUGAAGGCGGAAGUAUUAGAAAUGGUUAUGGUGGUGAAGUACACACCGUCGACUGUAGCAGCAGUGAUGCUCCAGUUUCUAAUGGCGGAGGUGACUCUUCAGGUUUAUUGAUUGAACUCGUAGCAAAUUUUUUUUUUUUUUGCUUUCCCAUGCGAAGUAGUAGGACAUGAAGGUCGAAAUUACGACGAUUAAGCUAAAUCGAACCCCCUUCCCGGCUGAUGCAUCCUUUUUGGUUCUGAUGAAUUAGAAACUUCUCAGUUCUUGCGCAAUUCGAAGUGGAACUCUCUUUUUAAGUUCUCUUUCUUGAAAUUAGGGUGUCUACGUUUUGGUAUGGAAGUAAGAUGAGAGAUGUGACUGUUUGAUUGUUGUUUGGCAUUGGAAUGGUAAAAGUUCCAAUUGAAUUAAUUGCUAUUAAUUUGCCAGGAACCGCUGGGAGUAUCUCCAGAGUGACUACAUUACAACCUGAAAUUCUGAGUUUAGACAAAUUGGAACCACCUUUAAAUAAUUUUACGUUGGAAAGAGCAAAAACUGAGGGCCAGAGGCAUCAUAACAUACUUUCUGAAGAGGCAGCACAAAUUUUUGACGACAAAAUUCCUGUGCAACAGAAGGUAUUGUUAUGUCCUUAUUGUGUUUGCGUGUUUCUUUCACAUGACAACAUUGCGCAUCAUUUACAAAAAAAGGUGCUAGACUGUUAAGGGCUUUCUAUUUUAUUUUUAUUUCUUUUUUCUUCAGGGUUUAUGAUGUGGAUCUUGGACUUUAUUUAUUGUCAAAAUUAGUUUACCGGCUAGAGUGAUUGCUAACAUAAACGACUAAUAUUGUAUUUGUGUGGCAUUCAUCGAUCAACCUGAGAGUUGAAGAAGUUUAUUAUAAUGUCCUGCUUUCAUUCUUUUUUCGUCUACCUGUUAUCUGUCUUCUUUCUUGCUUUAUCUCCUUCUUUUGGUCAAUUUUCUCUUCAAUAGUUAAAAUUAAUCAAUUUUGAAGCAUGAAUUUGGUGAAAGACCAAUUAAAAAUUUGAAUAUAUUGUUCUGGCCAUUUGGUCUUGGAAGAAAUGCUGUUGAUAAUGGUCAAUUGAAAAGAUUAAAGAGUGUGUGGAAGUUCUUACAGUUGUCAGCUUUUGUGUUAGAAAGAAUUCCUUUCAGCUCUCGCGUAUGGUUUGAACUUGCAGUCAUGGGGAAUGUUGUAGAAGCGUGCAUCCUCAUUGGUACAUGCAUCCUCAUUGGUACAUUCAAAUGCCACCAUAAAUACGUAUCUAUACAUUAUAUAAAGCUAGUAUAGUAGCAGUUGUUGUAAACAUUUUUGCAUUUUUUGAAAUUCCAAUUUUACCCUUAGAAAAACUAAUUUACAUCCUAAUCACCUAAUCACAGCUUGCCAACAUAGCCGCUCAUAACUACCCUAAGUAUUGUAACUACCAAAUUAACUAUAAUCUCAUUGAAGCAAAUAUUAAUAAAUCAAAGUUCUUUAAUGAAAAAUGUUAAUGUAAAAAAACAUAAUUUGCGCAAAACUAAUUCAUGUAAUAAAUUAAUUAUUUCUAAAUUGGACACAUAUCUGUGUGUUCUUAACACUAAUAUUAUAAUAUCCUGGAGAGCUUCCUGAGAGAGCGUGAUGUAUUGAUGAUCAACAAAAAACACAAUGAUAAAAUAAGAUAUGUGAAAUAUCACUUUGGUGCACGAAGGUAACAACCAUGGAGUUAGAUGAUGGUCUACCAGACUAACACUGUCUUGAACCACUCAAAAAGCAAGAAAAAAAAAAACAGUCUUGAACUAUUUGUUAUGCCCCAUAUUUGUGGAGUUUUUAGGGUGAGGAAAGUGUGACUAAUUAAUAUCUGUGAUAACUAUAGAAUUUUGUUCGUCUCUGUUCUUUUGGUUCUUUUUUAUGAAAUGCUAAUCUCUACACUACAGGAAACGUUUAGCAUCUCUAUCACACAAAUAGGAAGCCAUGUGGAAAUCAUGCCAUGGAAAAAACAAAAUCAUAUGUUGCCUUAGGGACACUGGUUUAGCUGUAGACAAUAGGCCACGUCUCUCCCUAUAAAUUCACUUCUUGUGCAUUUUUCUUCAGCUUUCUUAUAUUGUCAACCAGUGUCCACUUGUUACUUGCUUCAAUAUAUUACAGAAGCAAGUUCCAGCAUACAGUUCUCACCUGUGAAAUUCCUUGAGUUUUUGAAUCUUAAUCCUUUUAUGAACAGUCCAGCAUUUAAAGAAAAUUAGCUUAAUUUGAUUUCAAGUUGGUGAACAUUUUGCAAGUUUGACUGAGCUUAAGCAAGAUAAUUGGUUUCUUGGUUGGAGUUUGUAUUGGAAAAGUUCAAUGUCUGACGCAGGUUGUUGAAUAUUGUUCUUCAGAUUACAAGGUCGAUGACUAUUUGGCAUUUUCAGUUCAUAAAAGGAUGCAUUGAGGUCUCCUUAAUGUGUAUUAUCCUAUUAUUGUUAUUAGAUGCAUUUAUUCAUUUACAAAGAUCAGAUACUGACUUGGUGUAUCUAUUAAGAGCAGUUAUUUUCCAAUUUGCAUCAGUUUCAUUAAGAUGCUUUUUGGUGCAAUACUAUUAAUGUUAUAGCUGCAUACAGUGUCAUGAAGUUUCUAAAUCUUGGUGAUCUCCUUACUGUAGAUUACUUAUUGCACAUGGUGACACUUUAAGUACUUACAUGCUUGCAAUCUUUUUUUAAACAUUUAAAAAA